CUGUAUAUUUAGAGUGUAUGCCCACUUUCAUGUGGGAAACCCAGCAAGUAUACGUCGCGUCCACCUUGAACUCAUCGGGUUCAGGGUAACGACACAUGCAGCGGCAUCUUCGGAGUACUU
rnacentral:sRNA from 1 species